rnacentral:sRNA from 1 species
GCACCUGCUGAAUAGCCCUUGGAGGGCAGGC